rnacentral:rRNA from 1 species
AUUGAACGCUGGCGGCAGGCCUAACACAUGCACGUCGAACGAGUGGCGGACGGGUGAGUAAUGUCUGGGAAACUGCCUGAUGGAGGGGGAUAACUACUGGAAACGGUAGCUAAUACCGCAUACCAUCGGAUGUGCCCAGAUGGGAUUGGCGAGUAGGUGGGGUAACGGCUCACCUAGGCGACGAUCCCUAGAUGGUCUGGUAGGAUGACCAGCCACACUGGAACUGGGACACGGUCCAGACUCCUACGGGAGGCAGCAGUGGGGAAUAUUGCACAAUGGGCGCAAGCCUGAUGCAGCCAUGCCGCGUGUAUGAAGAAGGCCUUCGGGUUGUAAAGUACUUUCAGCGGGGAGGCGUUACCCGCAGAAGAAGCACCGGCUAACUCCGUGCCAGCAGCCGCGGUAAUUC